rnacentral:rRNA from 1 species
CCCUUGAAAUACCACCCUGUUGUUAUUGAGGUUCUAACUUGGUCCAGUAAUCCUGGAUGAGGACAGUGUAUGAUGGGUAGUUUGACUGGGGCGGUCUCCUCCCAAAGAGUAACGGAGGAGCACAAAGGUACCCUCGGUACGGUCGGACAUCGUACCAAGAGUGUAAAGGCAAAAGGGUGCUUGACUGCGAGAGUGACGGCUCGAGCAGGAACGAAAGUUGGUCUUAGUGAUCCGGUGGUUCUGAAUGGAAGGGCCAUCGCUCAACGGAUAAAAGGUACUCCGGGGAUAACAGGCUGAUACCGCCCAAGAGUUCAUAUCGACGGCGGUGUUUGGCACCUCGAUGUCGGCUCAUCACAUCCUGGGGCUGAAGCAGGUCCCAAGGGUAUGGCUGUUCGCCAUUUAAAGUGGUACGCGAGCUGGGUUUAGAACGUCGUGAGACAGUUCGGUCCCUAUCUGCCGUGGGCGUAGGAAAAUUGAGAGGAGCUGCUCCUAGUACGAGAGGACCGGAGUGGACGAACCUCUGGUGCACCGGUUGUCACGCCAGUGGCAUGGCCGGGUAGCUAAGUUCGGACGGGAUAACCGCUGAAAGCAUCUAAGCGGGAAGCCUCCCUCAAGAUGAGUUUUCCCAUGAAGCCCGUUGAAGACUACGACGUUGAUAGGCAAGGUGUGGAAGCGCAGUAAUGCGUGAAGCUAACUUGUACUAAUUGGCUGAUUGUCUUGACCAU